UCCGAAAAUAGAACCAGUUGCAGAUUUUCACCUCAAAGCGGCUCGCAUGUCAGUAAAAAUAGAAACUCUGGAGUUAUUUUGGUUCAAUUCAUGGAUUUAUGCGGAUCAAUUGGUACAAGUUCUUAACGGUUCAGUCUAGACUGAAAUCGACAAAUAGAAUUGAUUGUAAAAUUUGCUUCUUCUUACUAAGAGAAAUAACAUAAAGAAAUCUCUUAUUACAUAACCAAGCUUCAAACAGAAUCAAAAUAGAUUUGCGGUAUUCUGUUUUUUACUAUUUAAAGGCCUAGACAACCAACAUCUCAAUCAUCAUAUUUUGGCAACAUUAUGAAGAUGAAUGAAGCUUAGAAGAGAGUCACGUGACAUAGAGCUUGAUGAGUACAGGAGCUACGACCCAUAGGGAG
rnacentral:sRNA from 1 species